rnacentral:rRNA from 1 species
AUGAACGCUGGCGGCGUGCCUAAUACAUGCAAGUCGAGCGAACGGACGAGAAGCUUGCUUUUCUGAUGUUAGCGGCGGACGGGUGAGUAACACGUGUAUAACCUACCUAUAAGACUGGGAUAACUUCGGGAAACCGGAGCUAAUACCGGAUAAUAUUUUGAACCGCAUGGUUCAAAAGUGAAAGACGGUCUUGCUGUCACUUAUAGAUGGAUCCGCGCUGCAUUAGCUAGUUGGUAAGGUAACGGCUUACCAAGGCAACGAUGCAUAGCCGACCUGAGAGGGUGAUCGGCCACACUGGAACUGAGACACGGUCCAGACUCCUACGGGAGGCAGCAGUAGGGAAUCUUCCGCAAUGGGCGAAAGCCUGACGGAGCAACGCCGCGUGAGUGAUGAAGGUCUUCGGAUCGUAAAACUCUGUUAUUAGGGAAGAACAUAUGUGUAAGUAACUGUGCACAUCUUGACGGUACCUAAUCAGAAAGCCACGGCUAACUACGUG